AUACGGAGGGUGCAAGCGUUAAUCGGAAUUACUGGGCGUAAAGCGUACGUAGGCGGUUCGUUAAGUUAGAUGUGAAAGCCCCGGGCUUAACCUGGGAACUGCAUUUAAAACUGGCGGACUAGAGUUGAGUAGAGGGGAGUGGAAUUUCAGGUGUAGCGGUGAAAUGCGUAGAGAUCUGAAGGAACACCAGUGGCGAAGGCGACUCCCUGGACUCGAACUGACGCUGAGGUACGAAAGCGUGGGUAGCAAACAGGAUUAGAUACCCUAGUAGUCC
rnacentral:rRNA from 1 species